rnacentral:rRNA from 1 species
GAUGAACGCUGGCGGCGUGCCUAAUACAUGCAAGUCGAGCGAACGGACGAGAAGCUUGCUUCUCUGAUGUUAGCGGCGGACGGGUGAGUAACACGUGGAUAACCUACCUAUAAGACUGGGAUAACUUCGGGAAACCGGAGCUAAUACCGGAUAAUAUUUUGAACCGCAUGGUUCAAAAGUGAAAGACGGUCUUGCUGUCACUUAUAGAUGGAUCCGCGCUGCAUUAGCUAGUUGGUAAGGUAACGGCUUACCAAGGCAACGAUGCAUAGCCGACCUGAGAGGGUGAUCGGCCACACUGGAACUGAGACACGGUCCAGACUCCUACGGGAGGCAGCAGUAGGGAAUCUUCCGCAAUGGGCGAAAGCCUGACGGAGCAACGCCGCGUGAGUGAUGAAGGUCUUCGGAUCGUAAAACUCUGUUAUUAGGGAAGAACAUAUGUGUAAGUAACUGUGCACAUCUUGACGGUACCUAAUCAGAAAGCCACGGCUAACUACGUGCCAGCAGCCGCGGUAAUACGUAGGUGGCAAGCGUUAUCCGGAAUUAUUGGGCGUAAAGCGCGCGUAGGCGGUUUUUUAAGUCUGAUGUGAAAGCCCACGGCUCAACCGUGGAGGGUCAUUGGAAACUGGAAAACUUGAGUGCAGAAGAGGAAAGUGGAAUUCCAUGUGUAGCGGUGAAAUGCGCAGAGAUAUGGAGGAACACCAGUGGCGAAGGCGACUUUCUGGUCUGUAACUGACGCUGAUGUGCGAAAGCGUGGGGAUCAAACAGGAUUAGAUACCCUGGUAGUCCACGCCGUAAACGAUGAGUGCUAAGUGUUAGGGGGUUUCCGCCCCUUAGUGCUGCAGCUAACGCAUUAAGCACUCCGCCUGGGGAGUACGACCGCAAGGUUGAAACUCAAAGGAAUUGACGGGGACCCGCACAAGCGGUGGAGCAUGUGGUUUAAUUCGAAGCAACGCGAAGAACCUUACCAAAUCUUGACAUCCUUUGACAACUCUAGAGAUAGAGCUUUCCCCUUCGGGGGACAAAGUGACAGGUGGUGCAUGGUUGUCGUCAGCUCGUGUCGUGAGAUGUUGGGUUAAGUCCCGCAACGAGCGCAACCCUUAAGCUUAGUUGCCAUCAUUAAGUUGGGCACUCUAAGUUGACUGCCGGUGACAAACCGGAGGAAGGUGGGGAUGACGUCAAAUCAUCAUGCCCCUUAUGAUUUGGGCUACACACGUGCUACAAUGGACAAUACAAAGGGCAGCGAAACCGUGAGGUCAAGCAAAUCCCAUAAAGUUGUUCUCAGUUCGGAUUGUAGUCUGCAACUCGACUACAUGAAGCUGGAAUCGCUAGUAAUCGUAGAUCAGCAUGCUACGGUGAAUACGUUCCCGGGUCU